UCUUAAUCCAAGUGUUUGCUUUGUUUUUAAAAAUCCUACAAUUGAAAAAUACAUAUUGAGAAAACUGCAACAUGUUACGUAAUCACUCAAGCUUUUGUUACCACCAAGCUUUUUGGCUGUGUUAAGAGCAGUUGACGAUUAUGUCACUUCUGCCUAUUUCCAUAUUGUGUGAGAUAAUUCCCUCUUGAAAUUCAAGUGCAUUUCAAAAUUAUGGUGUUCUUUGAUCUCCAGCACAAAAUUCAUCUCGUUAGAUCAACUAGCAACCCGGAUUUCACCCAUCAUAAACUCAUUUUAUGUCUUUUUCGUCAUUAUGAUCUCAGGGCGUGUCUACAUGGAAAGCUUGGUUUCGCCAUGUGCUGAUGGUGUUGAAAAUCCUCUAUAAGAGAACGAAGUGUAUGCUGUCACAAACAAGGGUCAUGUGGUGGUUGGUUUCGCAAAAUCAAUUCUGGAAACU